AUGAGAUUAACUCAGUGCAUCUCUCCUGAGCUCCCUGUAUGCUACACACAGGAGGUGUGGGCAAGGUGGUCCUGGACAGGGCCCUGGGCUCCCAGGACAAGUGGGCUGAGCCUGGCAGGAGGAUGGGAAGGCACAGGGCGAGUCCAGGAAAGGCCCACGGGCAGCGCCAGGGUGGCUGGAGCCGUGGGGCACACGGUCAGGAGACAAGUGAGGCCACACCAGCAAGGUCCGAGGGAGAGGCUGACUGUCCGGGAAGGCGGCUCCAGGGGGAGGGGCAAGUCCCGGGGCCUCCGGGGCAGCCCGGUGAUGGGCCGUCAGGGCUGGUCUCUUCUCUCUCGGCCACAGGUUCUCCAUCUCAGGCCCCGGGGAGUGCGUCUUCGUGGAGCCCACCAGGCUGGCGUCGACGGAGUGCCUGAUGACCCGGCCCUGGGUGUGCAGCAAGACGGCCUACACGUGAGAAAUCUGCACAGCCGGUCCAGCUGCCCAUGACGUCUGAAAACUAGCCGGUGUUUUAGAGGAAGAGAUGAGAUGCUGAACCACCUUGCAACAACAUCCACUAGGAUCCUGCAGUCCAGAGUGGAGAACCCAUUUGGGCCAAGACACAAACACAUCGAAGACAAAAUUGGAAUGACAGUACCAAUGAAUACAAAGAGCUUAUGAGGGCCAAGCACUGUGCUAAGCAUUUCACACACAAAGUAUGUUAAGCCCAUAGUAGUUGCUUAAUUUAAAAAAAAACAAAUGAUCGGGAGUUCCCAUUGUGGUAUAGCAGAAAUGAAUCCGACGGGGACCCAAGAGGAUGCGGGUUCGAUCCCUGGCCUCACUCAGUGGGUUAAGGAGCCGGCGUUGCAGUGAGCUGUGGUGCAGGUUGCAGACAUGGCUUGGACCUGACGUUGCUGGGGCUGUGGUGUAGGAUGGCAGCUGUAGCUCUGAUUAGACCCUAGCCUGGGAACCUCCAUAUGCCCCAGGUGUGGCCCUAAAAAAAAAAAAAAAAAAAAAAUCAUUGUCUGUUUCACUGUGAUGUAAGCUGAGCACAGUAUUUGAUUGAGCUAGCUUCUAUAGCACCUGCAUUUCAGAGGCUUGCACCACAGACUAAUGCAGAUCAGUGACGACAGGGGAAAGCAUUGCUCCCUCCAGAAUCUUUGAACAUAGAGGCUCACACAAGAUGUAUUUUAGGGGAUGCAGGAGAAGUGGCUGCCAUGCACCAAUAAUUUUCCUCUCCUUCCAGGUAUGUGGAAGGAUCAUAUUUCCUGGUCUGUUUGAGGGUUAGUGACUGAUGACGGCAGGGUUUUUUUUUUUGUUUUUUUUUUUUUUUGUAUUUUUAGGGCCGCACCUGUGGCAUGUGGAGGUUCCCAGGCUAGGGGUCGAAUUGGAGCUGUAGCCACUGGCCUACGCCAAAGCCACAGCAAUGCCAGAUCUGAGCUACAUCUGCAAACUACACCACAGCUUAUGGCAACACUGGAUCCUUAACCCGCUGAGCGGGUCCAGGGAU
rnacentral:lncRNA from 1 species